GUAUAUAUUUUUAUUUUUUUCAUACAUUCAACAUUUUUAAUGUGAUUGUGAUAAUAAAAAGGGAAAGCUGAACUAAACAAAAGCACAGCAGUCCCAAUAUGAUGCACAGGUUGGAGAAAUAAUAAAAGGUGUGCACAUGCCUCAAAGGCCAGCAACAACCCAUAUUCAAUAAUGAUCCUUCCGCAGGUUCACCUACGGAAA
rnacentral:misc_RNA from 1 species